UUGACCUCGGAUCAGGUAGGGAUACCCGCUGAACUUAAGCAUAUCAAUAAGCGGAGGAAAAGAAACCAACAGGGAUUGCCUUAGUAACGGCGAGUGAAGCGGCAACAGCUCAAAUUUGAAAUCUGGUCCCUUGGGGCCCGAGUUGUAAUUUGUAGAGGAUGUUUCGGGUACCGCCCCGUUCUAAAUUUCUUGGAACAGGAUGUCAAAGAGGGUGAGAACCCCGUCUUGGAUCGGCGGUAGGGCCCAUGUGAAACUCCUUCGACGAGUCGAGUUGUUUGGGAAUGCAGCUCAAAAUGGGUGGUAAAUUUCAUCUAAAGCUAAAUAUUGGCCAGAGACCGAUAGCGCACAAGUAGAGUGAUCGAAAGAUGAAAAGCACUUUGAAAAGAGAGUUAAACAGUAUGUGAAAUUGUUGAAAGGGAAGCGCUUGCAACCAGACUUGAGCGCGGCGGUUCCCCCUUCCUUCUGGUUGGGUUACUCCGCCGUGUCCAGGCCAACAUCGGUUUUGGUGGUCGGUCAAAGGCCCCGGGAAUGUACCUACCCUCCGGGGUCGGCUUAUAGCCCGGGGUGUCAUGCGGCCUACCGGGACCGAGGAACGCGCCUCUGGCGAGGAUGUUGGCGUAAUGGUUGUAAGCGACCCGUCUUGAAACACGGACCAAGGAGUCUAACAUCUAUGCGAGUGUUAGGGUGUCAAACCCUUGCGCGGAAUGAAAGUGAACGGAGGUAGGAAGCCUUGAGGCUGCACUAUCGACCGAUCCUGAUGUCUUCGGAUGGAUUUGAGUAAGAGCAUAGCUGUUGGGACCCGAAAGAUGGUGAACUAUGCCUGAAUAGGGUGAAGCCAGAGGAAACUCUGGUGGAGGCUCGCAGCGGUUCUGACGUGCAAAUCGAUCGUCAAAUUUGGGUAUAGGGGCGAAAGACUAAUCGAACCAUUGAGUGGGAUGCUGCAUCGGCCACGCUCUCUCGAACACGCGUAAACGCGGGGUGUUGGGGGGGUUGGCUGAUGGUUAAAGACAAGACAUCUUACCGCAGCUACUAGGUGGUUAAGUGUCAACUAAAAGGGUUGGCAAGUGCCUGUUUCCGGUGCGACAUUGUCAAAUUGCGGGGACCUCCUAAAGCUCAAGCUACCAAGCCUACGCUCGAAAGACGUGGGUGGCCGGGGUAAUGACCUAGGGUACGGUAACAACGCUUGAGAUGCUGGCUCCAGUCAAGUUUCAGCGCAAUGGAAAAUCCGCAGCCAAGUUCUAAUGACCCUCCCAAGGACCCGACGGUCCUCGCGGGGGUACGAAUGCAGUUCACAGACUAGAUGGCAAUGGGCCCUCGCAUGCGGGGGCUUAAGGUAUAGUCGGGCCCCCGGGGAGACCCGGGCGCAUACGCUAAAUCCACCGUGGGAGGAAAACCUCCGGUUGACGGAGACCCCGGUGGACCUGAACGGUGCGGCUGCCCCUAGAGGCAGUGAAUUUAAC
rnacentral:rRNA from 1 species